rnacentral:tRNA from 1 species
GGCGGUUUGUCCGAGUGGUUAAGGAGUUGGACUUGAAAUCCAAUGGGCUGUGCCCGCGCAGGUUCGAACCCUGCAGCCGUCG